ACGCUCGACACCUACGGGAGCCAGCAGUGGGGAAUAUUGCACAAUGGGGGAAACCCUGAUGCAGCGACGCCGCGUGAGUGAAGAAGUAUUUCGGUAUGUAAAGCUCUAUCAGCAGGGAAGAAGAUGACGGUACCUGAGUAAGAAGCCCCGGCUAACUACGUGCCAGCAGCCGCGGUAAUCUGAGCGGGCUGGCAAGGC
rnacentral:rRNA from 1 species